CUUCGAACGCACAUUGCGGUCUUCGGAUACUGUUCCUGGACCACUCCUGGCUGAGGGUCGUUUCAAUUUCCACGACUGCCGGGCGUUACGUGCACCGCAACGUCGGUGCUCGCCGAGGCAAAUAUAUGGCCGUUCGCGAGAAACCUUAUUCAAAACGUCGUUCGUUUCGUACAGCCCCGCACUCGUUCGGAGGCGUCUGAACGUGUCCGACGUUAAGGUGUAUCGCGUCGGUUUAAAUUACCGCCACUAAAAUAAGGUUCGCGGCGAACAGCGUAUGUUGUAUUAUAUACGCCCGUCGGAACUCGACUGUGGUCGACGUGUCAGAGACAAGACCGAGGAUGAAAUGCUUGCAUAUUCGUUAUCCCGAGUUUUGCGUUGCGGGGAACGGGUGUCGUCGUAUCAGUCCGGGCGUUAGUUGUUCAUAGCGAUAACUCUGUGAAGUACGACGACCACGAAGUCGGUCGUCUUCAUAUUAUUAUGUCGCGAUAACUAACUUACCUAGACGGACGACAGAUAGCCACGUUUAACCAACCGUCGUCAGACCUAUCGGUUCGACAUUCGCUGCGCGGGUUAACAGUCGUCGCCGGUCGAGGCGACGCGGACCGCGCGAAUGAAUAAAACGGGCGUGUGCCGUUUGUGUGACCAAAGGCGUGUUUGUAAAUUUUAUGAACGA
rnacentral:misc_RNA from 1 species